AGCACUUAAUUGUAGUACACAGCAAUACACAGCAGCGAUAACAACACAGUGUUUAGCAUCAAUAAGCAACAACACAGUGCUGAGAAGCAAUGAGCGGCGCAAAGCAGCAGCGUGCAGCGCGAUCAUUUGUAAUUUACAUCUGUGGUAAAAUGAACACAAAGUCUGAGAAGGCUAUACUGUAUGUGGGUGCGCUGCACUACCGUGUGACAGAGUCCAUGCUCUUUAAAAGAUUUAGACCUGCAGGGCCCAUUCGCUUCAUCCAGAUCUGCAGGGACAACAAGACAGUCUCCUCACUCAUCCAUGCAUAUGUCAGCUUCAAAUAUCGGGCCGAUGCUGAGCGAGCAAUGGUAAAGCUUAAUUAUGAGUGCCUGAUGGGACAGCCCAUGAGGAUAAUGUGGGCUCAGAGACAUCUGACCCGGGGAUCUACCUGCGUCGGAAACCUGUUCUUCAAUAACGUGGACAAGUCCAUUGACAGCAUGGGUCUUUUUGAACUUUUUUCCAUCUCCAAAAAGGAUGAAGGUUAUGAGGAGGAGCCAAAAGGGUACAAUUACCUCCGUUUUGAGUUUCUCGAGGCAGCAAAUCUCACAAUGGAAAGCUCAAAUCUAAACUCCUGAACGACCAUCAAGCAUUGCCUGUUACCCCAGAAGAUCCACCCCAGUCUGGCCAAUAAGAUCAUGUGGGAGCUGUUGCAAGGCAAAAACAUCUAUGAAAUCUGAAUAUGAUUGAAUAUUCAGAGUUUCUGGUUGCUAAGGAAAUGUGGUCCAACAAUAAGAGUUGGAGGAAUAAAAAAAGAAAGAAGAAAUUUUUAAAUAACACUCCAACUAACAAUUC